rnacentral:tRNA from 1 species
GUGCCCGUGGUGUAGAGGUCUCUGCACAUCGGUCUGUGACUCCGAAGGUGGCGGUUCAAUUCCGCUCGGGCACCCUCCA